GGAGGGGAGGACUGGAAACAAAGAAGACCCAGAAAGCCAAAUAUUGCAUGACGUAUACAUGGAAUCUGACACAGUUGACCUCGUAGAGAUUGAGAAUUGAAUAGUGGUUACCAAGAGGCUGAGAGAGAGGGAAGUGUUGCUCAAUGGGUAGAUAGAAGUGCCCGUGAUGGGGAAACCAGCAGCAGUUCUUUUUCUUCAUAAAGGAAGGGAAGCUGAAAAUCUAAAGUUCAUACUUGCUACAUGGAAGAUGCUGAGACCUUAAUUCAUCUAUAAAUUUGGACAUAAAAUUAAAUGACAACAGCAGAGUUGGAAGAUAGCUGCUCUUCACUUACAAGUCUUGCUUGUACCUGAGAGUUGAUUUGCUAUAAUGGACUUCUCUUCCACUGGAUUGGAGUUGAUAUGCUGUAUGAGUAGUAGUUCCACUGGCAUGUUGUUGCAAAAUCCAAGGUAUCACAAUAAUUUUUCUGUAUCACAGGAACCUAAAUUAGCAAAACAUAUGAAAAAUAGUAUUUAGAAUAACAAGAAUUAAUUUUGUAGGGAAGACACAAUAAAAACUUUAAACAAAUAAUUUAUUAGAUAAACAUACAUUUAGAAACAUCUUAAAAUUUGGCAUAAAUAGA